GCCAGGUGCAGUGGCAUAUACCUGUAGUCCCAGCUACUUGGGAGGCUGAAGUGGGAGGAUCACUUGUGCCUUGAGUUCUAGACUCAUUUGAGCAAACCAGUGAAAUCCCCAUCUU
rnacentral:sRNA from 1 species